rnacentral:lncRNA from 1 species
CUCCAACUGUAAUAUUACGUGUUCACAGCUUUCAGCACACAAUUACCCUCAUUCCAAUCACUGGAAUUCUUCACACAGAACUGCCAUUCACAUUAGGGUGUUUCACACAAAUACAGACUCAUUCUCUCUACUGAACUACAAUCAAAUUUCAGCAUUCAAUCUUUCUUUUUCUCAAAUAAUACUAAUCACAUUUCCAUUUCAUAAUUCACUUCACAAUAUUCAGAAACUCUCAAUCCUCUUAUUCAAAGAAAAUAACAAACAAAAAAAAAGAGGUAGCACCAAGCGUACCCCGGCUCACACUAUCACAGCGAUGGCCCUCAGCCCAUGACUAUCACAGUUUGGCACCCUAAUUAACUUCUAUAACUCCUAUAUACUUUCCCUUGAUUCUCCAGAUUCUAACCGUAAUUCUGUAAUUAACCGCUUUUAAGAACUAAAUCACUCAUUUAUCCUCCUGAAUUUCCUAUUAUAUGGACUAUUAAUAUAUUUUAUCAAUAUCUUUCAAAAACAAAUUAAUAUCUAUUCUACAUAGCCCUAUUCCUAUCUGUGCAGUGUCCUCGCAAACACUCAAUUGAUACCUAUCUAAAAACUACUUAACAAAUCUCCACAAAGUUACUAGUUCCUCUGGCCUACCUAAUUAAUCAUUUGCUGCAUUGUCGAAUGUAGAUUCGACCAAAUCUGGUUCCAAUUACAAAUCUGGUUCCAAUUUCAAGAUCUGGACAUCUCAAAGUUUCAAUUGUUGUUGCUGUUGACUCAUCCAUUCUAGAAUAUCUUCAAUCGACACUUGUGACCGGC